rnacentral:rRNA from 1 species
GGGCGUGCUAACACAUGCAAGUCGAGCGAGAAAGGGGGGGCAACUCCCUGAGUAAGCGGUGCACGGGUGAGUAACACGUGGGUAAUCUACCCUGGAGUGGGGAAUAACACCGGGAAACCGGUGCUAAUACCGCAUACGAUCACGAUAUCUGCGGAUGACGUGAUGAAAGGAGCAAUUCGCUCCAGGAGGAGCCCGCGGUGAUUAGCUAGUUGGUGAGGUAAUGGCUCACCAAGGCUACGAUCAGUAUCCGGUCUGAGAGGACGGUCGGACACACUGGAACUGAGACACGGUCCAGACUCCUACGGGAGGCAGCAGUGGGGAAUUUUUCGCAAUGGGGGCAACCCUGACGAAGCAACGCCGCGUGGAUGAUGAAGUAUCUCGGUACGUAAAAUCCUUUCGACAGGGAAGAAACCGCAAGGUUGACGGUACCUGUAGAAGAAGCCCCGGCUAACUCCGUGCCAGCAGCCGCGGUAAUACGGGGGGGGCAAGCGUUGUUCGGAAUUACUGGGCGUAAAGGGCGCGUAGGCGGUUCGCUAAGUUGGAUGUGAAAACUCUGGGCUUAACCCAGAGCCUGCAUUCAAUACUGACGAGCUAGAGUUCUGGACGGGGAUAGCGGAAUUCCUGGUGUACGGUGACAUGCGUAGAUAUCAGGAGGACCCACAGGUGGCGAAGGCGGUAUCUGGACACGAGUCUGACGCUGAGGCGCGAAA